rnacentral:lncRNA from 10 species
CGCCCCUAUCCUGUGCCCAUAAAAGACUUCAGCUGGCAGCGCAAUAGAAGCGGCUGAGCGGCGAGGAUACACGCAGCUGAGUGUCAGAGACAAUGGAUAGAUGCGGCUAACUUCAGACGGUGCGGCUUCAGAGAGGGACCUGGCCGGAGACUGCCGGGCUUCAGAGAAAGCUCACGUUCCCAUCUGCUUUCCAGCCUCCCUUUCCGCUGAGAGCCACCCACCGCUCAAUGAAGUCUUCCGCAUUCAUCACCUUUCAAACGGAAAUAAAACUUUAACCAAAAGAGCAUGGGCAGAUAUUUCCCGGAUCUGAACAGGAAUAGCUGGUGUCUGGACUCUAUGAAGAAUCUUCAUGUGCAGUGAUAGAAGAAUAAACACAUUUGCAGACUUUUGUAGUGCACAGUGACCGGUGACCAGCAGCAUGUGUUUCCAUAGGCAUCUUCUCUCAGUACCCCAGAAGGUGAAUUGCCAGUGAGUCCUGCCAGGAUGCCCCUCGGUGACUGCACCACCCAGUAAAAAGACAUCCCUUAACUAUGGCAAAACAACAACAACAACGACGACAAAAAACAAAACAAAACAAAACAAAACCCUGCAUCAAUUUGAUAAAUAAUCCUCCCCGUUGAUGUCACUGGUUUUUUUCUGCACAUCUUCUCACUGAUAUUUAAAUGCUGAGCUUACACUUUCCAUGGACAUGCUUAAUGACUAAACAAUAGUUGAAUUCUAAAUUAAUCAACUGACCAACCAGUAAGAAUUUAUUGAGCAACUCCUUUGAAGCCGUCUAUCUGUUAGGUGCUGUGGGAGCACAAAAGAAAUAGGACAUCAUCUCUGCCUCAGGGAAUUUAGUGUUUUGGGGAAAACCUGAGUGGUAUACACAAAGCAAUUGAGGAACAACCUAGGACCUUGUAGUCCAUUAGGAUUUCCAAAAAUAGAAAGAGAAUGGAAAGUCACCUGGCUAGGAGAAGCCAGUGGAAACUUGACACGAAGAAAAAAGAGCAGCUAAUUUCAUUCCUGUCCACCAGUUAUUUAUGUGUUUAUCUUUAAUUACAUUUGUUUGAUUUCCCUUAUUAAAGUCUGAUGUCUUAAAAAAGCAGAAAAGUGAGGCAGGUCAGCAGGGGAUGUAAGUUGGGAAGAAAGACAGGUGAGGGCAAGAAUUUAGGCAGGAGCCACAGUGUUGGUUGUGCAGGUGAAGGUCAGGUGACGGAGGGUAACCAGUCAUGGAUGACCCAGGCAGGAGCCAUAACCAAAAUGUUAGAAAAAGUUGGUAAGAAAUUGUUCCAGGCCAGGCGCAGUGGCUCAUGCUUGUAAUUCCAGCACUUUGGGAGGCCAAGGUAGGCGGAUCACUUGAGGUCAGGAGUUUGAAACCAGCCUGGCCAACAUGGAGAUACCCUGUCUCUACUAAAAAUACAAAAACUAUCUGGGCAUGGUGGCACGUGCCUGUAAUCCCAGCUACUCAGGAGGCUGAGGCAGGAGAAUCACUUCAACCCAGGAGACAGAGAUUGCAGUGAGCCGAGAUUGCGCCACUGCACUCCAGCCUGGGUGACAGAGUGAGACACCAUCUCAAAAAAAAAAAAAAAAAAAAGUUUUCCAGGAACAAGGGCAGAACUUAGCUACUGAGUUCUACCGAAGGCCAGGAUCUGAGUCAAGCACCAAGGUUAACUCCCAGGGAAGCCAAAUGUUCAUAAAAGGAAAUCUUUCCAAAUCACAAAUAUCAGGGCCUGCUAGGUAAAUUCUAGCUUCUCUGUGCCAAGGGCUGUGUUCCUACUCUCAAGCGCCACUCACUGACUGUCUGGGUGGUGCUGUGGGCUUCUGUACUUUUAGCUUCAUCAGCUGCACCUGUCCUCUUUUCCCAUAAGACGCCAGGACCCUCAGAAUCUUCCCUCUUACCAGAAAUUUGGGUUUUGGGCUGGGUCCCUGGACCGAAUUCUGACACUCUAAGUGUUUGCAGACUAUUUUGAUAGAGGUAGUGAUUAUGAUGCCAGAAAAGUGAAGCCAGUUUUUAUUAGAAUGUUGGCCAUCUUGAAUAAUCCAUUCCCCCACUUCCAUGGGACAUCUUCAAAGAGAUUUUUAAAAGACAAAUAUGAUCUCUACUAAUGAGAUAUCUUCAGAAGGUAGAAUUAAAGCAAAAUUAAUGUACACAGAAUUCCUAUUUCAAUAUAUUUAUUAUUCACAACAUUUCUACACACACACACACACACACACACACGCAUACACACACACACACACACAUUCCUGCACAGGUAAUUUAUAGUGGCUAAUCCACUCAGUACUGUGGACUUUGGUUUUAGAGAGCAUUGUUUUCAAGGGUAGUACAGAUAAUCUGCCUCCAACAUAUUCUAUUCUUAGGGCUCUAAAGUCAAAGGAGUUUGUACAGACCCCUCCCUGCUAAGGUAAUUAUGUCCUCUUCAUAUCUUGCAUGAAUGUUUGCUCUUAGAGUGAUGAUCUGAAAUAUCAACAUCCUGCAGGACCUAGUCUGGUCUGGAAGAAGAAGAGAUAUGUCAUCUCUAUGGGCUUUGAUCUUGGUAGGCAUAUUUAUUCACCAGGUACACAAAUGCAACUUUAAACCCUCAGCCACAUUUAGUAAACUAUUUCUUCAUCUGUUGCAGUCUUAUUCUGAUGGGAAAAAUUUCCUCUGUUUUUCAAGUUUAAUUUAUUAUUUUUUCAAAUUACAAGAGCAAUGCAUAUUAUUGUAACCAGAGAGAUAAUGCCAAGAUCGGUAGAGAAAAACUUAAUAAUCUCGACCUCCUAUAACCAUCUCUCUUCCCAUCCCCCUGAGGUAAUAGCAAAUGUUAACAGCCUGCUACCUCUGCACAUCUUCCUUCCUUCAUGAUUUCCCUACACACACACCCAUACACACACGUGCGCAUGCACACACACACCCACUCAAACACACGGUGUACGUCCAGGAGUCAGAAGUGGCUACAGAGAUGGAGUCUUCAUUAUUAAGAGUAAAACAACAGAAGCCUGUAUUUUGACCAGAGGCCUGGAAUCUACUACUUUGUGAAUUAGCUAAGCAGCCCCAGUUGAACGUGAACCAGCCUGGAACAGAGUGGACUGCAGAGGCAAUAAACAAGGAUGUCGUGAAGACCCUGUUUCUUUCUAGCGUGGCAUCCCAGGAUAAAAUAUACAAUUAAUAGAUACUGGAAGGCACACUUUCUGAUUAUGGAGAAACCAUCAAAUUUGGCCAUGGUUUUGCAUAGGGGCUAGGUUGGAAAUUCAACUAGAACAAUUUAAUGUCUACUGGCAAAGCUUCUUAAUUAUGGAAUGAAAGCUACCUCAAAGUGCCUGGAGGCUUGAGCUGAAUGGUGAGAUCUUCAUUGACCUGACCUCCUCUGUGCUGAAGUUUGCUGACUUGAGGAGACCUCCCCUAAGAACAGACCCUCCCCUCAGGGCUGCCUUCAGCGAUGAUGAUUGACGCUGGCAAGUCAGUCAAGUGGGAAGUUUGCAGCACACACGGCUCAAAGGACUCACCCAGUUUGCCCUGUUGGAGGAUGUUAACCUUUGCACACUAUUUUUGACAUUUAAUUUUUCCUUCCAUUUAGUGCAUGACUCUUUUUUUGUCUUUCUAGUAAAUUCAUUUAGUUAGUAUUAUUCUUUGCCUAUUUUGUCUUUUAAACUUCUGGUUUUUAAUCUUUCGUAUUUUAUAUUAUUUAUUCUUGGUGUUCAUGCUUCUUAUUCUCUUUUCUGCUAUUUUAUCUUAUUGUUGUGAUAAUAGUAUAUUUGCAGUAAGCUCCUUUUACUAACUUCAUUUAUUUCUACAUAAUGUUUUAUCUGGCUUUGACCACAACUAUAUAAGGGGACAGCAAAGUGGAGCCACAAAUGGGAAGAUUGUGAAGAGGGCCCUUGACCAAAUAAAGAGGAAACCUUUUCCCUGAAGAGGACUUUUCAGCAACCCAACUAAUUCACUCAUUUUUCUCAAAGUUGAAUUUUCUUCCACAAAAACCCCUUGACUUUGUUAUUGAGUAGAUCCUCAGGCCUAGGAAAAUAAUGUCUACAUCGACCAAGGAGAUAUCUGAACUACCAGUACUUCCUGCAGCAUCUUUGUUUUGGUUGGCCUGGGCAGGUGGUGGGGCACGGGGGUGAAGGGAGGGGUCUGAGGUGGGUAGAAAACAAGGGUAUCCCCAGGGCUAUGGGAGGAAGGUCUAGUGGACUGGAACCAUUGUAUCUGUCGAUUAGUGGAGGCAAUCAUAUUUGUGAUCCUUGAGCUAAUGGUCUAGUAAGACUAUAAACUUGUUCAUAAUUAAAGCUGGCAAGAGGGUUCUUACCCCAGGUAAUGAGACAAGAGUGAACCACAGGAGGAAGCCAGCACAGAGACCGUAUGUAAUGAGUCCCUUCAUGGGAAAGGGAUGGAAAACAGUCCUCAGGCUAGCAGCAGAGGGAGUGCUGUCUGUUGUGGGUCUUGACCUGCUUAAGAGGUCUGACUUGAGGUGAGGCUGAAAGACAGCCCCGCUGGGGGCUUCAAGAUAACGAUGGACGGAUAGAGUUCUCUCACCGCUGAAUAUCUCCUAAGGCAUUAGUAAAACACUAUUUAAAUAUUUCCUCUGUAACUCAGUUGUGCUAUUAAAGCUCUGUUUCUCAAAGUAGGUCUGUAGAUGUUCUUGAGAGAGUGAGUGUUUCAUGAGAAUUUUCAAAUUUUCUGCUUUCGUUUUGAAGAUAAUCUUAAAGAAAUAAAAUCAAAAUGUUCUACUACAUUAUUUUUAGUGCUGAAGGCUGAGUUUGGUGCCAAAUGAAGAACAAAUAACAUCACGGCAUGCUAUGGAAAUGUCGAUUUUGCAUUAAGUUUGAAUAGAGAAAGAUGUGGGAAAAUUGAUCAAUUUUGUGGCCCAAAGGUAGUACAGACAUCAUUAGUUCAAAAUGUCUUCUGUCAUAGCAGUGGCAUAUCAUGUUGAGAAGUUAUUGUGAGACAUACCAACUUGAACUGUCAUUCAAUAGCAGGAAAGAAUACUGUUAUUUUUAUUCAAUAGUAUUUUUAAUGUUAAUCUUCAGUAUUUUUAUUAUUAUGUACUUAUUGUGGUGCACUAUUAAAUUUAUCAGCCCCUCAAACUAAUGGAUUAGUAGUUAAACAAGCUUAUUUACCAAAAACGAUUAAUCCUACGAUAACUUGAAGAAAGACUUAAGAUAUGCUUCCAGUAUUGUUCAAAGUCAAAAGAAUCAAGAGGACAGAAAGUGAAGCAUAAAACAUACAAAUAGUAGGUGUAUUAAACCCAACGCCAGCAAUUUAGUUCCAGCAAAAUAUCAUUUAUCACACUGAUGUUUUCUAUAUGAACUCUAGUGGCUUUUGUAUGUUUGCUUGUUUUUAAUUUGCAGCUUUGCUUGAGUUUUGAAGUAAUUUAAGAGCUAUAUGUAUGGGAAAUUUAUAUCUGUUCAUUUUGAAGUAACACAAUAAAAAUAAUGUAGAGCAACAGUAGGAUUUUAUGGGAGUUUUUUUUUAUCUUUUAAACAUUAUUCAAGCUUAAAAAAUCUAUGACAGAGAAUUAAUGGGAGGCUUUUAUGUCUACUCUUUCAGUCUCAGGCUAACUGGGCCAUAAC